rnacentral:ncRNA from 2 species
GAUGAGCCGCGGAACUGACGGAAAUAGGUGGAAUGAACCACGUGGACUGCGGGUCUCAUGAAAAAGCCGACCGUCUGGGCAGGGAAA